rnacentral:tRNA from 1 species
GGAAACGUGCCCGAGUAGGGACUACCUUGAUAGAGUAGACACGGAGACCAACAAACUCCCGCUUCCU